UAGGGAAUCUUCCACAAUGGACGCAAGUCUGAUGGAGCAACGCCGCGUGAGUGAAGAAGGUUUUCGGAUCGUAAAGCUCUGUUGUUGGCGAAGAAGGAUAGAGGCAGUAACUGGUCUUUAUUUGACGGUAAUCAACCAGAAAGUCACGGCUAACUACGUGCCAGCAGCCGCGGUAAUACGUAGGUGGCAAGCGUUGUCCGGAUUUAUUGGGCGUAAAGCGAGCGCAGGCGGAAUGAUAAGUCUGAUGUGAAAGCCCACGGCUCAACCGUGGAACUGCAUCGGAAACUGUCAUUCUUGAGUGCAGAAGAGGAGAGUGGAACUCCAUGUGUAGCGGUGGAAUGCGUAGAUAUAUGGAAGAACACCAGUGGCGAGCG
rnacentral:rRNA from 1 species